rnacentral:rRNA from 1 species
CCUACGGGGGGCAGCAGUGGGGAAUAUUGGACAAUGGGGGGAACCCUGAUCCAGCCAUGCCGCGUGUGUGAAGAAGGCCCUCGGGUUGUAAAGCACUUUCAGUGAGGAAGAACGCCUGGUGGUUAAUACCCAUCAGGAAAGACAUCACUCACAGAAGAAGCACCGGCUAACUCCGUGCCAGCAGCCGCGGUAAUACGGAGGGUGCGAGCGUUAAUCGGAAUUACUGGGCGUAAAGCGCGCGUAGGUGGCUUGAUAAGCCGGUUGUGAAAGCCCCGGGCUCAACCUGGGAACGGCAUCCGGACCUGUCAAGCUAGAGUACAGGAGAGGAAGGUAGAAUUCCCGGUGGAGCGGUGAAAUGCGUAGAGAUCGGGAGGAAUACCAGUGGCGAAGGCGGCCUUCUGGACUGACACUGACACUGAGGUGCGAAAGCGUGGGUAGCAAACAGGAUUAGAUACACCUGUAGUC